AUGAACGCUAGCGACAGGCUAACACAUGCAAGUCGAGGGGUAACAGGGUAGCAAUACCGCUGACGACCGGCGCACGGGUGAGUAACGCGUAUGCAACCUGCCUAUAACUGGGGAAUAGCUCCCUGAAAGGGGGAAUUAACACCGCAUAAUACUAUUGAUUCGCAUGGAUUAGUAGUUAAAUGUAGCGAUACAGGUUAUAGAUGGGCAUGCGUGACAUUAGCUAGUUGGUGAGGUAACGGCUCACCAAGGCUACGAUGUCUAGGGGUUCUGAGAGGAAGGUCCCCCCACACUGGUACUGAGACACGGACCAGACUCCUACGGGAGGCAGCAGUGAGGAAUAUUGGUCAAUGGGCGCAAGCCUGAACCAGCCAUGUCGCGUGCAGGAAGAACCUGCCCCAUGGGUUGUAAACUGCUUUUAUAGUAGAAGAAACACAUCUACGUGUAGAUGUCUGCCAGUAUACUAUGAAUAAGCAUCGGCUAACUCCGUGCCAGCCGCCGC
rnacentral:rRNA from 1 species